CCUACGGGAGGCAGCAGUGAGGAAUAUUGGUCAAUGGACGAGAGUCUGAACCAGCCAAGUAGCGUGAAGGAUGACUGCCCUAUGGGUUGUAAACUUCUUUUAUAUGGGAAUAAAAUGUUCCACGUGUGGGUUUUUGUAUGUACCAUAUGAAUAAGGAUCGGCUAACUCCGUGCCAGCAGCCGCGGUAAUACGGAGGAUCCGAGCGUUAUCCGGAUUUAUUGGGUUUAAAGGGAGCGUAGGUGGAUUGUUACGUCAGUUGUGAAAGUUUGCGGCUCAACCGUAAAAUUGCAGUUGAAACUGGCAUUCUUGAGUACAGUAGAGGUGGGCGGAAU
rnacentral:rRNA from 1 species